rnacentral:rRNA from 1 species
AACGAACGCUGGCGGCAUGCCUAAUACAUGCAAGUCGAACGAGAUCUUCGGAUCUAGUGGCGCCCGGGUGCGUAACGCGGGGUAAUCUGCCCUUGGGUUCGGAAUAACUUCUGGAAACGGAAGCUAAUACUUGAUGAUGACGUAUGUCCAAAGAUUUAUCGACCAAGGAUGAGCCCGCGUAUGAUUAGCUAGUUGGUGGGGUAAAGGCCCACCAAGGCGACGAUCCUUAGCUGGUCUGAGAGGAUGAUCAGCCACUCUGGGACUGAGAAACGGCACAGACUCCUACGGGAGGCAGCAGUAGGGAAUAUUGGACAAUGGGGGGAACGAUGAUGGAGCUAUGCUGGGUGAGUGAUGAAGGCCUUAGGGUAGUAAAGCUCUUUUAUCCGGGAUGGUAAUGACGGUACCGGAAGAAUAAGCUCCGGCUAACUACGUG